UUUACUAGGAAGAGUUUUUAUUUUAAAUGAAAUAUUGUGUUUAUUGUAAUUAGGUUUGAUAAUUAAUUUAAAUGGUACCGUGAGGGAAGAGUUAAAAAGUUUAUGGGAAGAUUGAAGAUUACCUUUUGUAUUAGGGAAGAACAAAAUAUUUUUUAGUUAAAUUAUUCUCGAAUACUUACGAGCUAUUAUAAUUUAUGCUUAACGUUUUAGUGUUAUUAAAAAGUUCUAGUAGACAUGAUAUGUGAUUCGUGUGAGUGGUUAUCUAGUUCCUAGAAUUAUAUUUUAAAUAUUAUUUCUUGUGGGUAUUUCAUUUUAAUAGAAGAAAAAUUUUUUAUUGGGGAUUAGCUUAAUAAGCGUUGAUAUUAAGGUUAGGUUUUUAUUCAUAGGCUUAGAAGUGGUCAUAUAAAAUUGUGUUAUAACAAGUUAUAAAAAUUUAUGAAAUAUUCUUGGAUUUCUGGGCGUAUAAGAUUAAUGAUAUCUUUUAAUGAUAAUGUUUUUAUUAGUAAAAUGUUUAUUAAAGUUUAUUUUUAGUGCUAAUUUUUAAAUAAGAACUAGGCAAAAUUACUUUCAACUGUUUAACAAAAACAUUUUCUUUUGAUUAAGAUAAAAGAUAAUAUCUGCCCAAUGAUGAAAUUGAAUGGCCGCAGUAUUUUGACUGUGCGAAGGUAGCAUAAUAAAUUGUCUUUUAAUUGGAGUCUGGAAUGAAUGAUAAAAUGAGAGGUAAGCUUUUUUUUUAAGAAUAUUGAACUUUUAUGUUAGGUGAAGAUACUUAAAUAACAAUAAAAGACGAGAAGACCCCAUUAAGUUUUAUAUUUUAUAAGUAUGUUGGAGGGCUUAAUGUGAUAUUUGAUUGGGGCAAUUGAAAGAUAAGGUUAACUUUUUUAAAUAAUAAAUAUUUUCGAGUAAAUGUUUUGUAAUGAUCCAAAUGUUUGAUUAUUGGAAUAAAUUACUAUGGGGAUAACAGCGUAAUUUUACCUUAGAGUUCUUAUCAAUGGUGAAGAUUGCGACCUCGAUGUUGGAUUAAGAUACCUAGUUGGUGCAGGAGCUAAUUAAGGGAGUCUGUUCGACUAAUAAAUUCUUACAUGAUCUGAGUUCAAACCGGCGUGAGCCAGAUCGGAUUCUAUCUUUAUUUUUGAUGGAAUAUUUUAGUACGAAAGGAUUAAAUAUUUUGGAUAUUCCAUAU
rnacentral:rRNA from 1 species